GUGCUCACUUUGGUAGCACAUAUACUAAAAUUGGAAUAAUACAUAGAAGAUUAGCAUGGCUUCUGCUCAAGGAUGACACUCACAUUUGCAAAGCAUUCCAUAUUUUG
rfam:Cuculus canorus isolate BGI_N303 unplaced genomic scaffold scaffold11, whole genome shotgun sequence.